ensembl:piRNA 21ur-449 ncRNA
UGAAGCUUUUGCAAAAACACA